rnacentral:tRNA from 1 species
ACCUGCCUGGCUCCGUUGGUGGAGCAUGUGACUCUUAAUCUCAGGCAUGUGGGUUUGAGCCCCAUGUUAGGUG